UACGUAGGGUGCAAGCGUUGUCCGGAAUUAUUGGGCGUAAAGAGCUCGUAGGCGGUGUGUCGCGUCGGCCGUGAAAACCUGCAGCUUAACUGUGGGCUUGCGGUCGAUACGGGCAUCACUGGAGUUCGGCAGGGGAGACUGGAAUUCCUGGUGUAGCGGUGGAAUGCGCAGAUAUCAGGAGGAACACCGAUGGCGAAGGCAGAUCUCUGGGCCGUAACUGACGCUGAGGAGCGAAAGCGUGGGGAGCGAACAGG
rnacentral:rRNA from 1 species